rnacentral:rRNA from 1 species
CCUACGGGAGGCAGCAGUGAGGAAUAUUGGUCAAUGGACGAGAGUCUGAACCAGCCAAGUAGCGUGAAGGAUGACUGCCCUAUGGGUUGUAAACUUCGUUUAUAAAGGAAUAAAACGAGGCACGUGUGCCUUUUUGCAUGUACUUUAUGAAUAAGGAUCGGCUAACUCCGUGCCAGCAGCCGCGGUAAUACGGAGGAGCCGAGCGUUAUCCGGAUUUAUUGGGUUUAAAGGGAGCGUAGAUGGGUUUUUAAGUCAGUUGUGAAAGUUUGCGGCUCAACCGUAAAAUUGCAAUUGAUACGGGCAGUCUUGAGUACAGUUGACGUAGGCGUCAUUCGUGGUUUAGCUGUUACAUGCUUAGCUAUCAC